GAGCAAGCUGAGUGCGGGUGCGUAAAGCGUGAGAAAUAGAAAGCGAUUUCCAUGCCGCCUUUCUUUGUGCUUGUUGUAUCAUCAAGAUGUAAUUCAAAUGGCUGAAAUCAGAAUGUGCUGGUCAACAAAACGUUUACCAUGUGGACAGAAAAAUCACGACCAUAUCAUACAUAUUGCAUACCAGGGAUUUAUCCUGCCUUCAAUCCAAACCUGCUGCGGUAGGCUCCAGAUUUCCUGCAAUCCUACUCUGGAUAAACAGGUUUAGCUCAAGGUCAGCAACUGCAGGACUAAGCACAAAUAGGAAAGAUCACCAGACUCCAGGCCACCUUCUUGAGUGACUUAGGGACAGAAGACACCAACAAGAAAAACAAACAAACAAAAAAAAAAACACCAAAGAAAAUACAUUUGGUUGAUGCAAAUGGUAUUUGAAGAAAAGAAUACUAUUUCUUGAAAAAAAAGAAAGAAAAGGUUCCUGGAUACAGCAAACCCUUUUCAACUGUAAAACUGUGUCAUUUUUUUUAAUGUCCUGCCUUCUACAUAUUCAAGCAAGAUAGUCCCACACAAGUAUACUAUGGCCUUGUGGGUGUCCUGGGUCCUCAUAAUACUAAAGCAAGGAAAGCCAACUUUGUGUCACUUUAGUUGGCAUUCCUGCCUCCCUGUUCCUUUCUCAGCUCCUUCAAUGCAUCCAUUAGUUAAAGUCUGGUUUUUAGCACAACAAGUUUAAGAUUUAAAAAUAUUUGGAUAAAAAAAAACCUUCUGAAUGAAAAGGUUGGAUUCAUAUGGCAGCUGGAUUUCUGAUUUGAUCAUUAUAAAUCAUGGAGUUUUCUUCCUAUUUAUUAGAAUUUACAAUUGUUUUUGCUUAUUAGUGUCACCUUUGAAAUGUCCAUUGAUUUGCACAAUAUCAGUUGCUUUGCAUUUAUAAUAAAAUAUAUUUUUGAUUUGAGUGGUUACCUUAGUAGAAGUACCCACAAUUUCUAUGUGUAUGACUGAAAAAUCAUCACUAGUGUUUAAAACAAGUAAGCAGGAACCAAGGGAUCAUGGAUGUGUGAAAUUUAUUGAAGGAAUGGUCAAGGUUAAAUAUUUAGGUGGCUUUGAGCACAGUAUAGUAGUAGGACUACUUCAACUUAGCAUAUCCUGGCUAAAGCUGCUGAUUAACUGUGCAUACUGCAUAGCUGUUGUUAGUCAUUAGCACUAAAACAUAAGUAAUAUGAUAGUUUUAAUUUGUUACUAACCUUCACCUAUUCUGUUUCACUUCUCGGUACUCAAAUGUGGCACUUGGUGCCACCGCCCACCUGCCAAGUUGUUUUGCCUGCCUAAAGUAAAGUCAUCCCUAAUGGAGGAUUGCAGGAAUCAUCUGGUAGAGGGGUCCUUUCAUCGGAUUGACUGGCCCAGCGUUGUCUCAGCUGUGGAAUGGCCAGUAGGGGGAGGCAGCUUGAUGGCUGAGGUCCCCAAGGCUCUAAGCAAAUCUAAAUCUUAUUAUGUGAUAUCAUCUACUGGAUUCUGCUCUAUACUUGCAAUAUUUCUAUUGCACUCUUAUAUUGUAUUGAGGAUUACUUUUGUUCUGUUCUGUGUAUUGUAUUGUAUUGUAUUUACCCAUUUUUCUGACACCCACUGCACACCCAACCUACCUGGAAAGGGGUCUCUCUUUGAACUGCCUUUCCCAAGGUUUCUUCUAUUUUUUUCUCUACAAGGGUGUUUUUGUGAGUCAAGCCUGGGGGGCUGUCAAAAGGCAAGACCUGUUAAAGCUAAUUGCAGCACUUCUUGUGUGA